rnacentral:lncRNA from 1 species
CUCUUCCGAACAUGUCCGGCUCAAUGCUCGGGAUAAUCCACGAAAAAAAGUUCAAAUCUGAUAAACUAUGCUUAGGAUAACCUCUCUGGUUCGCUCUCUUCCAUUCUCUCGCUCCCUCUCUCUAUCUAUGCAAGUGCGUGUAGUGUGCGUAACAGGAUAACAGCUGUUGUUUCUCAACUGUUUUAUUUAAUUAAAUCACAGUUGUUGGAUAAGCUUUGAAUUUAAGGGUUAGAUUGAGGGUCUCCAUGUACUCUAUAUAAAGUAGG